rnacentral:lncRNA from 1 species
CAGACAUUUUCAAUAUGAUUAAUUAAACUUUUAUUUCUCAUUCUAUAGACAACGAGGCUGAGUAUUCACAAUCUGGUUUGUUCUGUAUUAAAUCAAUUCAAAAGCAGGAUAAACCGGUGACAUCCGACAUACAAAUCACUGUUUGGAUGAGAAGUACGACAAGGUGAGCUACUGAGAGGGCUUCUACCGUUCCAUUCAACUGCAGAGUAGUGAUUAUCUGCAGGAUGGCACACGAGGACAUAGUCAUCGUGCUCACAGUUCCUCUGUGUGUGUGGGGGGGGAGCUUGGUAGAGAGCUGGUUGGAGCUUGGUAGAGAGGAAUAAGAAGAUUUAACAGCCUCGGGUGAGCCAUAUGUAUGGGUCUUCCAUGGGGCUCCAAAGAGACACGUCCAUGUAUUCAUCACAGUGAAUGAUCGACAUCACUAAGGCUCUCCUUUGCUGGUGAACAGCUAUGUGGAAGCAUCAUCAUGUAGCCCUGGGGCCCCACCUGGUCUGAGGAGAACAUGGUAGCACUAGGUGUUUGAGGAGGGGUGGGAGUCACAUUGACUUCUGAAGGGAUAUAAUCUGCAUCAUGAGGCCCUGGGCCAGGAGUCAUUGGCAUAUAACUGCCCGCCACUGAGGGUGUAUGUGUACUCUGGUGAUAGACAUGAAGGAAAGGGGGCUUGGAUGAGGUAUUUUUCACAUUUUGAAGCGCAUGAAGUGAUUUGGUGGUAUUGUCUGGAAUGUUCAGGGGUAGACUUUUUCCACACCGAAGAUCUCGCCAUUACCUUCAGAUCCAUGGCCACGUAGUCAGUCCGGCUGUUCUCUUCAAUGAGUGGGAGUCAGAGGUGUUACUGCUGGAGAACUGAAAGGCUGGGAGCCCAAAUCCUCAGCCCAGACAGAGCCUCUAUCAUUGGGAGAACCACAGACGGAGGGGCCAGAGGUGUGUAUCAGAGACAUUGCCACCGCUGCCGGAUACACUGGCGGGAAUGGUGGUGGAGAUGCAGGCACCGUGACUGAGGCUCUCUUCAAGGAUUUUAUUGAUGCAGACAUUACAGAGAGCCAAGGUGCCAGUCGCAGGGCUGAUCAGUUGUUAACCUGUCCCCUCUCCUUGGCUACAGGUUUGGUUAGGGCGGUGGCCUUCAUCUCUUUCACUUUUCUGUGGGGACAGUUUGCUUACAACAGUUUCAGUCCCUGAGGACCGCUGGAGCCCAGUCCGUCUGGGUGGCAGGUUGACAUGUUGAUGACGUCACGUGGUGACUACAGCGCAGGGGUUUGAUGGGAAUGAUUGACUCUUGCUCCGCGGCCUGAAAUCAGGGAUGGCCGCCAGCGCUCUCACGGCCACCAGGAUUGUCUUGUGCAUGUUCUGAGCCACUACAGGGUCACCUGAGUCUACCUGCAUCCAGAUCUCCGCGGGCCCAGUAGAGGAUCGAGCGACCCACCUCAAUAAAGAAGAAGCACUCGGGAGUGACCACAGCGAAAGACAUUCAUCAUAGGCAGGUUGACAGACAGCAUCUCUUGGCAGAGAGACACAGCCCCGUUAGGUUCUUGGUUUGAAGAUGGUGCCAGGAGAGAUUGUCCAGCAUCCAUAAUUCAACUCCUCAGUGUCCUGGUGCUGAUUUUUCUCCUAGAUACUCAGGUCAUUCAGAGCCAGGUACCUAUCCUCUUGCUCCUCUGCAUUCUUCGCUCUCAUGAUAAAGUUCUCGUCCUUAGUGUACAGGCCUAUCAGGUGCUUGUGUUUAGAAUCUCCCCUCUUACUAACAGUGAAACAUUGAUACUGAUCAAUUACCUUCUUAGGAGAACUCACAGCACUGAGAGAUUUCAAAAUGAAUUGUACUCCAAGCGUGCAGUGUUGUUUCCUCUAGCUAAAGGGCCCACGCUCAAGCACGGUGUGACGAAACCAACCAAAUGCAAUUCCACUUCCAUUUAUUUGAGAUGCAGAUAAUAAUGCUCUCUCUGAUCAGCUUCUCCGUGUUAGAGGAGUACUGCUCCAGAAUCCACAGCACAGAGUCUAGAAUGUUGGUCUCCCUCCCUUUUUGUUAAUGUUCUUAAACUGGGACAGCAUAGUGGAGGAGGGUUACCGGUACUCACCUUCUGGAUGAUAUUUGACAGACAGGAAGAGAGCAUUGGGACCAUGCGUGCAACAGACAACGUGUAUGUACACAUUCAAAUGAAGCCUGAAUCACUCACGCAUAUUAAACUAAACUGUUAAACCUGUUUUUGAUUGUGUCGGGGGUUGUGAUUGGAUGAGUGAUCCCUACCUUCAGCAGACAGGUCAAGCAUAUAGUAGGGAGUUGUUGCUGCUAUUACCAGCUGUUAAAAAAAUUGCAAUAUGUGGAAGGUACUGUACCUAAUACAGUACUAGUGUCACACCCUGAUUUGUUUCACAUGUCCUUGUUAUUGUUUCCACCCUCUCCAGGUGUCACUUAUUUUCCCCAGUGUAUUUAUCCCUGUGUUUCCUGUCUCUCUAUGCCAGUUUGUCUUGUAUUUUUCCAAGUCAACCAGCAUUUUCCCUGAUCUCCUGCUUUUCGCUAUUGACCCUUUUUCUAGUCCUCCCGGUUUUGACCCUAGCCUGUUUCUGGACUUUGUACCUGCCUGCCUUGACCACGAACUUGCCUGCCACUCAGUACCUCCUGGACUCUGAUCUGGUUUUGACCUUUUGCCUGUCCACAACCAUUCUCUUGCCUACUCCUUUUGGAUUAAUAAAC